GUCCACAGUUCAGCGAGAAGUGUCGAUAACUAAGAUACAGACAGAGAGAAACUUAAUUAAUACGAGAAGUAUGUCAUCCAAACUAAAGUUGAUAAACCUGUGGAUUGUGAUAUUGCUAAUUGCCUGCGGAAAUGCGAGAUCCCAGAAGCUAACGUGCCACGAACAGCAAGGAGAAUGCAUGCCUUUUUGCAAUGUUCAAUUGCAAAAAAAUGCCACUGACUGCCGCAAGGAUCAAGUAUGCUGUGUUUUGGUUUAAAUUGCUCUUCUAUGAAAUUUUCAUACUAUCAGCAAUAAAAAAUAAUAUAACAUAAUUACACUUUAAUAGUGUAAUUUGAGUGAACAGCAAGAAAGUACUUUUAAAUAGCGUAUAUAAUGCAGUUAAGAUGGUUUCGGUAUACACUAUUUAACAUAUAUGUUAUGGUUUGUUAUACUUUUUUAACUCUCAGAGUCCACAGUCCAGCGAGAAGUGACGAUAACUAAAAUACAGGCAGAAAGAAACUUAAUUAAUACGAGAAGUAUGUCAUCCAAACUGAAGUGUGUGUUCUCGUUACUGAUAUUGCUAAUUGCCUGCGGAAAUACGAGAUCCCAGAAGCUAACGUGCGCAGAACAGCAAGGAGAAUGUAUGGAUUUUUGCAAUGUAAAAUUGCAGAGAUAUUCCACUGACUGCCAUAAUGGAAAAAUAUGCUGUGUUUUGGUUUAGAUUGCUCUGUUAUGAAAUUGUGAUACUAUCAGUAAUAAAAAAGAAUAUAACAUAA